GGCCACGUAGCUCAGCUGGAAGAGCAGGACACUUCUAAUGUUCAGGUCGGGGGUUCGAACCCCUCCGUGGUCGCCA
rnacentral:tRNA from 1 species